rnacentral:rRNA from 1 species
UACAGGGGUCCCAAGCGUUGUUCGGAUUCACUGGGCGUAAAGGGUGCGUAGGUGGCGAGGUAAGUCGGAUGUGAAAUCUCCGAGCUCAACUCGGAAAUGGCAUUGGAAACUACCUUGCUUGAGGGUCGGAGGGGGGACUGGAAUACUUGGUGUAGCAGUGAAAUGCGUAGAUAUCAAGUGGAACACCAGUGGCGAAGGCGGCGCUCUGGGUCGGCCCUGACGCUGAGGCGCGAAAGCGUGGGGAGCGAACGGG